rnacentral:piRNA from 1 species
UUAGACAGCUGAAAGAAUUAG